rnacentral:lncRNA from 1 species
AGUGGGAGGUGUGGGUCCGUGCGAGCUGCUCUGCUGACGCGAUCUGGCCACACUGGAGGCGGCGGGCGAACGGGGCUUGGGGGGUCCUCGUGGCACCGUGGAGAGGGCUUCUGGGGCUCCGUCAGGGUCCGCUACGGCUCCAGCGGAGCGCGGUGGGGAUGGGGUACACAGCCGAGCGUCCGCCGGAGCCUCCGCCAUGUUCGCGGGGCUCCAGGACCUGGGCGUGGCCAAUGGCGAGGACCUGAAAGAGACCCUGACCAACUGCACCGAGCCUCUCAAGGCCAUUGAACAAUUUCAGGUGGGCAGAAGGGGCCGGGGCAGCUAGGGAAGCUGGACACAAUUCGGCGCGCUCCCGACGCUUGGAUGGAGGCGCUAAAGGUUCUGCGCUAGGGACCCGCUGAGUAACUGAGUGUUUUCCCUUUUCCGCUGUUACUAUGGCGGACCCUAGUACUCGGCAUCCGUGGUGUCCGUGCUGACUUGGCUGCGGCCAAGCAAAAUGCGUACGCGUUUACCCUCUGCUUCUCCAGACAGAGAAUGGCGUGUUGCUGCCUUCCCUGCAGUCGGCCCUGCCCUUCUUGGAUCUACACGGGACACCGCGGCUGGAGUUCCAUCAGUCAGUGUUUGAUGAACUACGUGACAAACUUCUGGAACGAGUGUCAGCAAUUGCCUCUGAGGGAAAGGCAGAGGAGAGGUGGGUCUCUACCAGGAAGCUGCUUAUCUUUGUGAGUAGCAUUGAUGGUCUCCAUGGCUGCACAGCCCUACCUGUAGAUACAACCUGGAAUGGAAUGUGUUUGAGGGAUUCCUCUUCUCUGUAUGUUCUGCAUGUGGAGACACACUUCCUCAGCUGUGCAAAUCUGUGCAGGUACAAGAAGCUGGAAGACCUUCUGGAAAAGAGCUUUUCUUUGGUCAAGAUGCCAUCCCUACAACCAGUGGUGAUGUGUGUUAUGAAACACUUGCCCAAGGUGAGAACUGUGGGGCCAGCCUCUCAGACUGUGUGUUUAGUGCAGGAAGUUGCUUAGCUCUGGGAAAGUUUGAUGGACUUGCCCUCCAGCAAGCUCUGGGCCCCUUCUUUAUAUCACACACUUCCCCUGGUUGAGCCAAAUGGAAAUAUUUAUCCCUUGAAGUGCAGGGUGGGUCUUUUGUGGGAAGAGGACUGUGGAGAUUCUGGAUGCCUGAAUUCACCUGCUAAGAGUUGGAGGUCCAUCACAGUCUGGGCUCUGUAGGGUCUGUGGGCAGCUGAGGCCUCAUGGAGGCAGCUGUGUCCUCAUGGCGACACAGGCAGGGCUUGCAGGGAGCUGUGGUGUUUACUGUGUAGGUUCCUGAGAAGAAGCUGAAGCUGGUGAUGGCUGACAAGGAGUUGUACCGGGCAUGUGCUGUGGAAGUGAAGAGGCAGAUUUGGCAAGACAACCAGGCUCUCUUUGGUGAUGAAGUCUCACCACUGCUGAAGCAGUAUAUCCUAGAGAAAGAGAGUGCGCUCUUCAGCACAGAGCUCUCUGUGCUGCACAACUUCUUCAGCCCUUCCCCCAAGACCCGGCGCCAAGGAGAGGUGAGAUGCCUCUCAGGGCUGUGCGGCCAGCCCUUCAUUCCAUGCCUCUUCCCUGGGUGUAGCUCUUAGUUUGUUUCUGUGAGCAUGAGCUUGUGUAUGCAGCCUGGAAAAAGUUGGUUGGCAGAGGUUGUGGCAGGAGGAUUGCUGUGAGUUUUGAGGCCAGCCUGAGUGACAGCAGAUCUCAUCUUAAAAAAAAAACAAAAACAAAAAAAAAACAAC